rnacentral:rRNA from 1 species
UAUAUAUAACAAUUAUACAAACUUUUAGCAACGGAUCUCUGGGCUCUCGCAACGAUGAAGAACGCAGCGAAUUGCGAAAAGUAAUGUGAAUUGCAUAUACCCGUGAAUCAUCAAAUCUUUGAACGCAACCUUGCACCAUUGGGAACUCCCGAUAGUACCGUCUGUUUGAGUAUCCAAUCAACACCUGCAAACUUUGCUUUUAACCCGAGCCAUACUUUGCAUAUCGAUUGGAUAGUCUUUAUUACUACCGAUUUAGAUACAUACGUCUAGCCACGCUAGUCAACAGAGUUUAACACUUCUGAGUGACGAAUGUAGUAGCAUGACUGGGGCUUCUUGAAGUCUUUAACUUUGAUCUCAGAUCCAGACGAGGAUACCCCGCUGAACUUAA